rnacentral:rRNA from 1 species
UGCAGUCGAGCGGACAGAUGGGAGCUUGCUCCCUGAUGUUAGCGGCGGACGGGUGAGUAACACGUGGGUAACCUGCCUGUAAGACUGGGAUAACUCCGGGAAACCGGGGCUAAUACCGGAUGCUUGUUUGAACCGCAUGGUUCAAACAUAAAAGGUGGCUUCGGCUACCACUUACAGAUGGACCCGCGGCGCAUUAGCUAGUUGGUGAGGUAAUGGCUCACCAAGGCAACGAUGCGUAGCCGACCUGAGAGGGUGAUCGGCCACACUGGGACUGAGACACGGCCCAGACUCCUACGGGAGGCAGCAGUAGGGAAUCUUCCGCAAUGGACGAAAGUCUGACGGAGCAACGCCGCGUGAGUGAUGAAGGUUUUCGGAUCGUAAAGCUCUGUUGUUAGGGAAGAACAAGUACCGUUCGAAUAGGGCGGUACCUUGACGGUACCUAACCAGAAAGCCACGGCUAACUACGUGCCAGCAGCCGCGGUAAUACGUAGGUGGCAAGCGUUGUCCGGAAUUAUUGGGCGUAAAGGGCUCGCA